GACGAACGCUGGCGGCGUGCCUAAUACAUGCAAGUAGAACGAGUUGCGAACGGGUGAGUAACGCGUGGUAACCUGCCUCAUAGCGGGGGAUAACUAUUGGCAACGAUAGCUAAUACCGCAUACUGUGAGAUGGACCUGCGUUGUAUUAGCUAGUUGGUGAGGUAAAGGCUCACCUAGGCGACGAUCCCUAGCUGGUCUGAGAGGAUGACCAGCCACACGGGAACGGAGACACGGUCCAGACUCCUACGGGAGGCAGCAGUGGAGAAUAGUGCACUAUGGGCGCAAGCCUGAUGCCGCCAUGCCGCGUGUAUGAAGAAGGCCUUAGGGUUGUAAAGUACUUUCAGCGAGGAGGCGUUACUCGCAGAAGAAGCACCGGCUAACUCCGUGCCAGCAGCCGCGGUAAUAC
rnacentral:rRNA from 1 species